rnacentral:rRNA from 1 species
GAUCGGAGUGCUUGCACUCUGUGAAACAAGAUACAGGCUAGCGGCGGACGGGUGAGUAACACGUGGGUAACCUGCCCAAGAGAUCGGGAUAACACCUGGAAACAGAUGCUAAUACCGGAUAACAACAGAUGAUGCCUAUCAACUGUUUAAAAGAUGGUUCUGCUAUCACUCUUGGAUGGACCUGCGGUGCAUUAGCUAGUUGGUAGGGUAACGGCCUACCAAGGCGAUGAUGCAUAGCCGAGUUGAGAGACUGAUCGGCCACAUUGGGACUGAGACACGGCCCAAACUCCUACGGGAGGCAGCAGUAGGGAAUCUUCCACAAUGGACGCAAGUCUGAUGGAGCAACGCCGCGUGAGUGAAGAAGGGUUUCGGCUCGUAAAGCUCUGUUGUUGGUGAAGAAGGACAGGGGUAGUAACUGACCUUUGUUUGACGGUAAUCAAUUAGAAAGUCACGGCUAACUACGUGCCAGCAGCCGCGGUAAUACGUAGGUGGCAAGCGUUGUCCGGAUUUAUUGGGCGUAAAGCGAGUGCAGGCGGUUCGAUAAGUCUGAUGUGAAAGCCUUCGGCUCAACCGGAGAAUUGCAUCAGAAACUGUCGAGCUUGAGUACAGAAGAGGAGAGUGGAACUCCAUGUGUAGCGGUGAAAUGCGUAGAUAUAUGGAAGAACACCGGUGGCGAAGGCGGCUCUCUGGUCUGUUACUGACGCUGAGGCUCGAAAGCAUGGGUAGCGAAC